rnacentral:lncRNA from 1 species
UCAUCUCAUCAUUUCAUCAUUUCAUCUCAUUUCAACUCAUUGCAUCUCAGCUCAUCAUUUCCAUUUCAUUAUUCCAUUUCAUCAUUUCAUUCAUUAUGUCAUUUCAACUCAUCAUAUUUCAUCUCAUCUCAUCAUUUCAUUAUUCCGUUUCAUCAUUUCAUUCAUUAUGUCAUUUCAUCUCAUAUUUCAUCUCAUCUCAUUUCAUCUCAUUUUAUCUCAUCUCAUCAUUUCAUCAUUUCAUCUCAUCAUUUCUUCUCAUCUCAUCAUUUCC